AGAGUUUGAUCCUGGCUCAGGAUGAACGCUAGCGGCAGGCCUAACACAUGCAAGUCGAGGGGUAACUUGAUUGAUAGCAAUAUUAAUUAAGCUAGACCGGCGCACGGGUGCGUAACACGUAUGCAAUCUACCUUACACUGGGGCAUAACUUCGAGAAAUCGAUGCUAAUUCCCCAUAGCACUAUGAUAUGGCAUCAUAUUAUAGUUAAAGUUCAGGCGGUGUAAGAUGAGCAUGCGUCCAAUUAGCUAGUUGGUGAGGUAACGGCUCACCAAGGCUACGAUUGGUAGGGGUUCUGAGAGGAUGAUCCCCCACACUGGUACUGAGACACGGACCAGACUCCUACGGGAGGCAGCAGUGAGGAAUAUUGCGCAAUGGACGAAAGUCUGACGCAGCCAUGCCGCGUGAAGGAUUGAAGGCCCUAUGGGUUGUAAACUUCUUUUGUACGGGAAUAAACCCUCGCUCGUGAGCGAGGCUGAAGGUACCGUAAGAAUAAGCACCGGCUAACUCCGUGCCAGCAGCCGCGGUAAUACGGAGGGUGCAAGCGUUAUCCGGAUUUAUUGGGUUUAAAGGGUCCGUAGGCGGAUCGUUAAGUCAGUGGUGAAAGCCUACCGCUCAACGGUAGAACUGCCAUUGAUACUGGCGAUCUUGAAUAUGUAUGAAGUUGGCGGAAUGUGUGGUGUAGCGGUGAAAUGCUUAGAUAUCACACAGAACACCGAUUGCGAAGGCAGCUGACUAAUACAUGAUUGACGCUGAGGGACGAAAGUGUGGGGAUCAAACAGGAUUAGAUACCCUGGUAGUCCACACCGUAAACGAUGAUUACUAGAUUUUGGUCGCAAGAUCAGAGUCCAAGCGAAAGUGUUUAGUAAUCCACCUGGGGAGUACGUCCGCAAGGAUGAAACUCAAAGGAAUUGACGGG
rnacentral:rRNA from 1 species